UACGGGGGGGGCGAGCGUUGUUCGGAAUUACUGGGCGUAAAGGGUUUGUAGGUGGCCUGCUAAGUCAGACGUGAAAUCCCUCAGCUUAACUGGGGAACUGCGUCUGAUACUGGAUGGCUUGAGUUUGGGAGAGGGAUGCGGAAUUCCAGGUGUAGCGGUGAAAUGCGUAGAUAUCUGGAGGAACACCGGUGGCGAAGGCGGCAUCCUGGACCAACACUGACACUGAGGAGCGAAAGCCAGGGGAGCAAACGGG
rnacentral:rRNA from 1 species